rnacentral:misc_RNA from 1 species
AGCACCUGUUGGAGAUUCGGGAAAAUCGCCAGCGCUCCAGGCGAUGUCCAAGUGAAGGCCGGAAGCCAUGAUUAAAAAGGCGGAUGGAUUUUGGUGUCCUCUGUUCGUCACGCUACUGCCUUUAGGCGGCGCUUGGUAAAUAUCGUCGCCUUCCGUUCGACCUUCGUGGAAGUGGAAGUCCUCUCUUCGUAUCCUUGAUAUCUCGAAUGGAUCGCCCAUUGUCUCCCCGGAAGCUUGGAGUUUCUCGGCGUUGCUGACUAAACGCGCCACUGCAUUAUCCAUAGCGAUCUGGAGUAAAUAAGAGCAUCGGCCAUAGCCAAGCGACCAUCCGCGUCCGUAUUCGAGACACGUACCCUGACGCCGGACUUAGCGGUGAUCACCUCGUCGGCGACGUAGGAAUUCUCACCGAUGCUGUUCCGUACCACGCACAGAGCCACCACAGCCUUCACCGUCGGUGGUUGCAGCAAAUUCACCACCUGUCAACAUCAAAUCCUUCCUACGGCUACUUUCAUAAACAUACCAAACGUAUAAUACUUUUAGCAGUUAACGAGACUAUGCGCUCUCUUUUAAUCUUCUUACUGUCUCGAUUAAGCAUUAGGAAAUACAAAUUACAUGGCACAGUUGUACCAUUGAUUAUCCCGAUCGCAGAACCGUGCUCAUAAUCAUAUCGACCAAAUUGUCGGUUUAAUCAUCGUAAAAUGAAACGCUCGAGUUAAAUCCCUCCUAUAG